AUGAACGCUGGCGGCGUGCCUAAUCCCUGCAAGUCGAGCGAACAGAUGAGGAGCUUGCUCCUCUGACGUUAGCGGCGGACGGGUGAGUAACACGUGGAUAACCUACCUAUAAGACUGGGAUAACUUCGGGAAACCGGAGCUAAUACCGGAUAAUAUAUUGAACCGCAUGGUUCAAUAGUGAAAGACGGUUUUGCUGUCACUUAUAGAUGGUUCCGCGCCGCAUUAGCUAGUUGGUAAGGUAACGGCUUACCAAGGCAACGAUGCGUAGCCGACCUGAGAGGGUGAUCGGCCACACUGGAACUGAGACACGGUCCAGACUCCUACGGGAGGCAGCAGUAGGGAAUCUUCCGCAAUGGGCGAAAGCCUGACGGAGCAACGCCGCGUGAGUGAUGAAGGUCUUCGGAUCGUAAAACUCUGUUAUUAGGGAAGAACAAAUGUGUAAGUAACUAUGCACGUCUUGACGGUACCUAAUCAGAAAGCCACGGCUAACUACGUG
rnacentral:rRNA from 1 species